GUGUUUAUUUUGCGGUACGCCUUAUAACAUGGAACACCGGUGCUGCGCUUGUCCGGGCAUGUGCAAAUGAUUUUAGCUCAGAAAAUAAUGAUUAUUCUACACAUCGCCCUUGCAGGUCUUAAUGGUAUUGUAGCGAUCCCAGUGGGCUGGGGAGGGAAAGAAUCAGGAUAGUAUAGCGUUAUAGUGACUGAAUACUAAGUCUGACCUUCUUCACUGUUCAUCCAAAAUCCAGUUAAAGCAGGUUUUAAGACAACCUCUGCUUUUUGCCAAUUUUAGGGUUGAUUAAUAUGAAACGCUAUCGUAAAUAUUAUUUCAAACAAAUAUCAAACUUACGUAUUAAGACGUCCUACGAUUUCUGUUUCCAUAUCUUGCUGACAGGUUCUAAUUAAUUUCUGUUUUAAAUAGAAAAUGAUUAUUGUGAUAUAGUAAGUUCCAAGUAAAGGAUCCUAGGAACGGCUACAUGUUUGACGUGAAGCCUCUGUUUUGGAAGGAUUAUGAAGUGAAUGAAGGCGAGUACAAGUAUCACUUUGGUGUGUGUGUGCCCCUCUGAAGGAGGGGGUAUGCACAGGCAAAACCCCAGAAGGUGUUGACCCUGUUUCAUCAUGUCAGGUUAAAUCUGGCAAAGAUGGCUUCCAAAAAGUAGCAGAACCUUACUUAUGAAGAUGGAUUGAUCACAAUCAACUAUACCAAGGGACAGAAGUGCCACACACUAUUGACGAAAGGUCUACUGCCAAAACGGUGAUAAAUACACCAGUCUGGGUGAGACAGAAACAGGCCCUCAGUUCUAGUCCUGAAAUACAUCAAUGGAGAUCUGUGUCCAGGUGGACAUCGCAAUAAAACAACCAUAAUAUGCUUCAAAUGUGAUGAAGACAAAGUGGAUUCAAAGCCAACACUGAUUACUGCAACUGAAGAUUUUGUCUAUUCACUCAUGUGGUUCGCCACUGCUGGCUGCCCUCUGAAAAGCAAUGUGCAUGGAGACUGCAAAGUAACCAACCUUGUUACUGAUGAGAUGACCUAUGUGAACUAUUCCAAAGGUGACGAUAUGUAUCGCAAAGGUAUUUAGGCUAAAACGAUUGUGCAGCUGGAAUAUGCAAAUACAUUUGGAACACCCACUCUUCUUAAGUGAAAAACUAGUGCAGUAGCCCAAUAUGCCAUGUUUUGUGAAGCCACAGGAGGUCAGAAUAGUGGAUGAGACCAUCACAAUUCCAGUGACAGGGUUCAACUUAGAUCUUUGGACAUCUUUUUCGGGCUCCCUGCUGAUAAUACCCUGGUUCUAGAGGCAUGUUUUCCUUUUAGAUUAUACAAUGCGUCGGGUGAUAUCUGGCCAAAUGGAGACAAGUACGUCUAUGAAAUCCAGCUCUCAGGAAUUACACAUUCUUCAUCAAAGCACACAUCGGAGCCAAUAUCUGCCAAGUGAAAAUCAACAUGGUUUUCAACCGACAGAUCAAGUAGAGCCAAAUACUUUGUUAAAGAUGAUAAUCUAGAUGUGCCGAUUCCCUCCGACUCUCCUUGUGGUCGAGACAAAUCCAAGAAAGUCACCUCUACCAUACUGUUCCACUGUAACCCAUCAGCUGGAGUGGGCACCCCAUAAUUUCUUCAUGAGCGUGACGACUGCCAGUACCUUUGGCACACUGUGGUAGCUUGUGAUCAGUGAACACAGAUGAGGACGGAGGAGAGGAUGAGACAGAGUGGCUGAUGGAAGAGAUAGCAGAGCCCAAUUCCAGGCCAUCCAAUGAGAGCCAGGAAAACAGGCACAUCAACACCAAGAUGGUCAACUCAGAUACUUUAAGCUCCUUCCACCUGGAUGAGCAAGACAGCAAGGAUGGCCCUGACGUCCUGGUCCACUCGGGCUGCCCACUUCAAAAGCAAUCACAAGCCUGCCAGCACAAGAAGGCCAUGACGAGGAGGCCCUUCAUGGACGAGAGUGACGAAGACUUGGUGGGACUCCUGGGUGAGGACAAGGAAAGGAAGGCCAGACCCAAGCAGAGAGAGAAUCUGCCACCACAUGUGACUUCAUUCCAUGAUGACAGUGAUGAGGACUUGCUGAAGGUUUAACUCCAAUUUGAUGUGCCUGCCCUCCAGCAGGGUGAUGGGACACCUACAUACUCCUGCCUACUUGCCUGGGAUAACCAGAGUCUGUCAGAACUGCCCUGACCAAAUGUUUCUAUAACAUGCCAAAAAAUAAACGAAAAAAAAUUAAGGGAAUACAAAACAAAGUGUGCUUGUUCUACUACCACAGUACUACGUUUUAUAGAGGGUGAAAUCAAAUUAUUUCAGUAUAUCUCUCCCGUCUGGCUGGCUGUAUUUUGCACACAGUCACGGGACUUACGAGCGAGGUUAGAGCUUCAGGAACCCUCACAGUACUGCUGAACACUUCCCGCCACUUUUCUUUAACUGCGGUUGGACUAUAUUAUUUUGUGUAAAGAAAGCCUGCUAUAUGUUCUGUUUCUGAGAUGCAAAAAAAAAAAAAAAAAAAAAAAGACACUUUUUGGUGUCUGUUAAUGUCAUGUAUCAGCUGGAGCGCACAGCACACAGUGCCUGAGUUACUGAUUUGCAAUUUAAUCAGAUGCCAUUUUUGAUUUAUAUGAAUGGUUUUUUUUUUUUUUUUUUUUUUCCUAGCACCAUUAGUUUUACACAGAGCUACACUGGACUUAAAAGGGGACCUUGUAUCUUUUAAUUUGACUUUUCACAGUUUCUGUCAUUCAAUUUGUUUUGCUUUUUUACGCUGUUUAUGUUAUUUUGAAAACAACAGAGGGUGUAUAUGGUCACUGGGACAUCGUAAGCUUACAGGAUCUUACACUAUGUAUAUGGUUGUAAGUUGGCAAUGUAUUUUUACAUGACCCUGGCAGAAGCACCAUGUUUUCGAGUUAUUUAAAACUGAUGUUACUAGCUGAAGCCCAGUGGAAUCUUACAGUACUGGUUAAUGUCUCUGGCCGUCCAUUAUUUGUGACAAACUACAAUAGGUUACUUUGAAACACCAACUCAGCUACACUAGUAAAUAUCUUGUCUUUUUAUUGGGAAAUGUGCAGCACUGGUGGUUUACAUUGCACCAGGUCGCAAAAAGGUUAAAGCUGUCAUUUGAACAGCCGACCGUGGACGGGAGCUCCCAGGAGGUGGCACUCAAUUGGAUGAGUGUCGACUACAGCGACCCCUGUAGUCUGGCCGGGUGCCGGUGGGCUUGCCUGUUAGCUGCCCGGGAGCUGCGUUGUCCUCCUAUGA